rnacentral:rRNA from 1 species
UACGUAGGGGGCUAGCGUUGUCCGGAUUUAUUGGGCGUAAAGAGCGUGUAGGCGGCCAUGUAGGUCCGGUGUGAAAACUCGAGGCUUAACCUCGAGAUGUCAUCGGAAACCAUUUGGCUAGAGUCCGGAAGAGGAGAGUGGAAUUCCUGGUGUAGCGGUGAAAUGCGCAGAUAUCAGGAGGAACACCGGUGGCGAAGGCGGGACUCUGGGCCGAUACUGACGCUGAGGAGCGAAAGCGUGGGGAGCGAACAGG